UCCGUAUUCCAUUAAUGAUUCUGACAUCAGAAUCCUAUGGUAAUUUAGUAUGAUUGUACUUAAAAAGAAUUCCUAUGCUGUAUCUUUUCAUAAUCUGAAUCACUUAGGUAGCAUGACCAUGAAGGAAACCUCAUAUAUUUACUAGAUAAAAGCUAAAGUAUGUUAAUGGUAAAGUUCAAUUUCACUUUUCUUGGCUACUCCGAGGACAUAUGGUUGGAAAAUAAAAUGGUUCCAACCUUCCAGAGACCAUGAAAGGAACAGAGUAUGUUUC
rnacentral:lncRNA from 1 species